UUGGAAAAGCCACAUAGAGGUCAAACUCUGUCUAGCUAUCCGUCUAUAAAGAAAUCCAGACAGCGUAAUGCAGCAUUUUAUGAACAACAAGUGGAUCUUCUGGGAAUGACAGAAUCCUCCCUACGAAUUAGAAGCAUGGAAGGAUUCGUUACACUUUAACAUGUUUCUUCAGUGACAUGUGCGACCUUGACUUUUAAUUAUUCAAGAGUGGCAAGUAUGGAACCUAAAGUGGAUUGUUGACACAAGAUGCCUGGAAAUAAGGAGAAUUAUGAAAGACAUACUGUUGUUUUAAAUUUCAAACCACAGUUACCUGUGUAACUAAAGAACCUGUAAGUCCCUCAAUAGGAAAAAGUGGAAACUGACCCAGAGGAUGCCAGACAGAAGGAUAUAUCCAAUUGCAGUUCUUACCAGCAUACAGGAGGAGGUUCCAUAUGAAUAUAACUUCUUGCCUAAGUUGGUUUAGGUAAGAAGACUCUUCAUGUGCCUGUUUCCUUCAAAUUUUAAGGGAAAGCCUAAGGGAAGAGGAGGUAUUGCAGGAGAUGGUGGGAAAAUGGAAGAAGGAUGCUUGGCAGAAGGCAGGAGCAGAGGGUCACUCUAGUGACUUGGAAGAAGUGUUGGAGAGAGCUCUUGCAUGGUGGUAGAACCGAGGACAGCCUAGACCUUCUGAUUGUCAACUCCUUGUUCCAUUGUGUCCAAACCUACAUGUCUGAACUCCUCUCAUCAAAGACUUCUCAAAGUUAUUAAUAACUGGGGAUCACGUAUUCAGUAAUUACACACAUCAGGCUCCAUGCUUUCUGUGCAGUAUGUAAAUUGAUUCAUUGUCAUACUAAUUAUAAAUGGCUAGUAUUAUUGCUGCUUUACAAAUGAGGCAUAUGACACACAGGGAGCUAAAUAAUUUGCCUAAGGUCACCCCACUUGUAAAUGAUGAAGCCAGGACUCAAGGCCAGGUCUGGCCACCCCUGAAUUUAAUAGCUUUAUCCUCUAUAUCUCUGUUUUCUCCCAGACCAAGGUGUCUGUACCUCUCUGCCAACAGAGAAAAGGGUUCAUUCAUUCAUCAAAUGUUUGUUGAGCAUCUAUUGUGACUCAGGCAAUAUCCUAGAUCAAGGAUUGUCAAACUUUUUCUAUAAAGGACAAGAGAGCAAACAUUUUAGGUCUCCUGGGUCAUACGGUCAGUCACUGUGAUUCAACUCUGCUGUUGUAGUACAAGAUUGUGAAAGCAGCCAUAGAUGAUAUGUCAAUGAAUGAGCAUGGUUGUGUUCCAAUAAAAUGUCACUUGCGAAAGCAGGCUGUGGGCUGGGUUUGGGCCAAGAGUUCUAUCCCUGCUCUAGGCACUGGAGUUA
rnacentral:lncRNA from 1 species